rnacentral:tRNA from 6 species
GCUCCCUUCGUCUAGCGGUCAGGACGCUGGCCUCUCACGCCGGAAACAGGGGUUCGAUUCCCCUAGGGAGCGCCA